AAUCGUGGAUCAGAAUGCCACGGUGAAUACGUUCCCGGGCCUUGUACACACCGCCCGUCACACCAUGGGAGUGGGUUGCAAAAGAAGUAGGUAGCUUAACCUUCGGGAGGGCGCUUACCACUUUGUGAUUCAUGACUGGGGUGAAGUCGUAACAAGGUAACCGUAGGGGAACCUGCGGUAGGAUCACCUCCUUACCUUAAAGAA
rnacentral:rRNA from 1 species